UAUCGGGUCUUGACCACAGAGGGUGGUUAGUGAGCAGCACUGCAGUACACACAACCCAACCUGCUGCAAAAUGACUCCCCCAGAUGGAUCCCCUCCAAUGAGGAUAAUAUAAGUCAGACAUUAGAAGGUGGGGCACAACGCCGUGCUUGGGAAGAUGCUUUCCUUUGAAAUAAGGCUGAGCUACGAGGAAAAUUGCCUGCACAAGAGAUUUGCUGAAUUUAAGAGAUGUUCAAAGCUUCCGGAUGACAGAGCCGGAGAGGCCUUUAUGCUGCACGGACUCAGUGACCACAAGGGGAGUAAAGGUCUCUUCUAGCAAAAACAACAAAGAAAGCCCAAACUCAGGAGGCAGAAUCCACUGAAGAUGCUGAAAAGCUGAAGCUGUGAAUGAAAGAGAAGACUGUUUACCAGGCAAUAUGGGAGCUCUCAGUUUGCAGUGGUAAAAAUCCUCUGGUCUUGGUGAUUUCUCCAUGAAACCAAUGUCAAGAGUCGCGGUGACAAGGGCUGGGGAGAGGAUUAGGGACAACGAAGGGCAGGAAAGAAGGGAAGGUCCAGGAGAAGGUAAAUACCUCAGCACUUUACAAGGUCCCUCGACCUCACUGCAAAUCUUUAAUUUAGAAAGUCUUUUUGUAAGUUGGACUAGCGCUGUAUCAGUCAUCCCCUUCCACGGCAGCAGUGUGCUCGAUCCAUACAAGGUGGCAGGUAGAGGAGAAGCAGGGACCCUACCUUGGCCAAUACCCAGAUCAGGCUACCUCAUUCUGUGAGUGGAGGUGGGUUGGGCAGGCAGAGAUAGCAGCCAUGGUGCUCUUGCUGGGCACUCCCUACAGGGAUAUCCUGAAUUGUUUCCAGCUGGGAGAAGAGUGAAUAGAACCAGCAAUUCAGUUGCAAGAUGGCAAAUAGAAAUUGAAAGAUGGAAACCCCAAACUAAGCAAACACAUGGAUUAGUGCAUGGGGUUAAAAAAAAAAAAAAAGAAAAAUCAAUUCAGCAAGCAUCACCAGAGGAUUUGUUUUCUGCAGUAAUAUUAACAGAGAUUAAAAUAAGCUAGUUUAAAUAAUAGUAACAGCAAAAUCUCUAUCAAAAUGUCUUUCCUCUGAGAUCUAGCCCCAUCCACCUCUAAUAGCCACACUUCUGCCAGAGUGAACUGUGUGUCAGCACCUUCUGGGGACAAGCCUGCCGCUGAGGCUCAAGUGUUGAGCUGAGUGUAGGAGCACUGCCCUGGUUGUAAUGUUCUGGAGGGUGGUGUUUCUGCUUGUGCCAAGAGUGCCAGCAUGGGCAACCACAGUGGUUUCUCUGCCUCAGUCAUGAUACAGACUCGCAAACCCUGGAUGGAUGACAACAUUGCACCAAACACAGCUGUCACACAUAAAUCACAGGAGGCACACUGCACUAUUUCAAAACAUGGCUUUAAGACCCCAUACAGUCUUUGCCCAGGAAGGUUACAUGCGUCCUUAACCUCUACCUGAGAAAACUUUGCCUUCUUCCUGCUUGACAGAAGGGACAGAGGGAGCAGUAGUGCUUGCUGAAGGCUGAAUCAUUGUCAGUUUGCCUGUUCAAAAAUCCUUAAUUUCUACUGAAACAAUGUGUGGAAAGUAGCACUUUGUUAAGACAAGGUGGGCAGGGGAGAGGUUAUCUAGUGUAUUUACUUAUUUAUUUUUGUUCAGCUAUAAGCCUAUCUAUACAAAGCUCUCAUGCAAGAAAUUGCCUCGCAGUUUAGCUGAAAAUUCAAAGGACACUUUUGUUUAAAAAAAAAGGAAGAAGAAGAAAAGGCAAUUUGCUGUCACACAGGGAAUUGGCAGAGUGUGGGGGCUGAGCAGGGGCAGUGAUAGGGGGGGAGAGGCGGCACCAAGACAAGACAGCCUGUUUAUGUCAGAAGAAUAAACAGUGAAAAUGGUAGUAACUUGCAGAGAAGACAGGUCUGAGAGAAGCCCAGAAAAGUUUCUCCAAGUCUUCAGGACCCUUUCAGGUGAACAUGCAUCACUUUGCAGUGACUGCUUCCUCACAGCCAUCCCUCAUCUCUUCUGCCUCAGCUCCCCCUCCACCUCUGACUUUUAAUACACUAUUAUUUUCUGACCUCUCACUGAGAGUCAAAUCCUGGACCAUUUCCUUCCUUUCCAUGCAUUCCAGCAGACUUCCUUGCUCCCUUCCUUCACCACCAUUAGCUCUCUGAGCUCAUUAUUAAAUCAUCUUCUACAGUCCCCUGACUUCUGGAUGGCCAUAAGCAUCAGACAUCUGACCACAAUUCACUGUUUUCGAUAUUGCUACUCCCAAGUUCUGAGGCACUGUGUCUCAGUCAUGUCUCAGUCUGGAUGUCCUGUAGUCAUGACUGCCAAUCACUGCAGGGGAGUGCAUAGAGGAAGGAGUACAGAGGAAACUGGUAACAGGAAGAUGUAUAUGUUAGGGAGGGAGGAAUACCUCCCCGCACCCUUCUGUCCUGUCUUUAUCAGUGUAUGUUUUUUAGGGAUAGAAUGGACCUUCAUGGCCCUUUAAAAUAAAUUCUCGUGAAGAUGAUGAGGCUCGGGAGAUGUUCAGCCCUAAAUUUAAGUCUCAUCCUCUACAAUAUGAUCUGUAAGAAACAGAUGAAAUCCCAAGAAUGCCAGCUGAGAAAUCUGAAUACUGAAGAACCUUUUCUUUUUUUUUUUUAAAUGCGAGAUAUGGCUGUUGAUGCUUACUCUUUUGUACAUGGCUUUUCAUCUUCAGCUGACUCUUUUCUGACAGUUCUUCAUUACAUAGUAAUGCAACUUUUUUUUAUAGAUUGAUCUUGAAAUGAUUUCCAGGGUCCACAGUAUUUUUUUUAUGCCCCUUGCUUUGAAUUUUCCAAUAAAUUUGUCUCCCUGUGCUUUAGAAACAGUAAAUUUAGCUGAUAGGCAAAGAAAAAUCACAUGAUCCUGCCACUAAAAUAAAUGCUCAAUUUCUGCACUCCUAACAGUACAGUCACUCUCCAUAUGCCAGGCUGUCCCAAUAGACUAGAAGAUAACGUUUCACACUCCAGCUAAGAGACGUCAACUUCAUAGGUGGAAAAAUAAUGUGGGAAAAAAAAAAUGGGUUAGAGGGUUUAACUCUGGGAAUUAUUGUUCUCUUAGAUUAGCUGUUAUAAGUUUUUAACCAUCCCACUUCCGUCACUUGAAAAGAGAUAUUGGCCAACGAUUUUUGCACAAGGCAAUGAGGGCAAGCGCAGUAGGUGGGGCCUCUGUCCGCGGUGCUGAUGCGCAGGGCAGCAGCUCCAGCACUUGGUCAGACAUGGCAAUCUCCCCCUUACUUAGGGUCGUUUUUGUUAUUCUUGAGGAUUGAAGUAGUUUGCUGUUGUUGUGAACAAUACUUGAACCUCAAACAAGGGCUUAAAAAAAAAAAAAAGUGCAAUAAAAAACAUUUGUUACUGAACAGAUGCUGGGCUGCGCAGCUGUUGCAUCAUCCUACCAGGUUUGAUCUCUCACUUCCUUACCCAGACAUGACUUUUACAUUAAUUUCAGAUUUCUUGAAAGCUGUAAGACAAGAUUUGUCCUAUAUUAGCAGAAAGAGACAAAGGACAUCGUUAAAAGCGAGGGGAAGUUUGUAGGAUAGAGGUCUGCUCCUGUCUUCAUGGUCAAUUUUCUUUGCUGAUAGGAUUCUGUUUCUCUUCUGAUUCUUUUACAACAGUGGAAUUUUCAUAUUAUAAACCAACUAAUCUCUUUUUAUAUACAGCGUUGUGCGUUUUUUCUUUUUUCUUUUCCCUUUUAGAAUUUUGCUUCUCUCUCCCACUGUUCUCUUCCUAACAUCUCAGCAAUCUUCAGUAUCCACAGCUUUCACUGACUUCAGACAAAGUUAUGGGUGUUCAAAUCCUUCAGAAUUUAGCUUGCUCUUGCACAAGAAGGUUUAGUUACACAGGAACAACAAUUCAGUCCCUUGCUGAUUAUUUCUAUUGUCUCAAUCUAGCUACAUGAGAAUGAGUCUAGACUCAAACAGAUCCCAGCCAGAAUCAAUCCCCACCAUCUCUCCAGCAAUCAGAACAACCCGCUGGGGGGGCUGAGUAACAGCUGAAUUCUUGGAGAGAGAAAUUACAGGCAUAAAAACAAAAUCAAAUAGACUUCUUGCACUCAUUCAACAUUUCAAGGCAUAUUUAUAGGUACUGCUUCAUGGCAUCUUAAAUAUUUCAGUUUAAAAAAGAAAUUGCACUGCUUUUACUUCUCCUGUUUUGGCACUUUCACCAUCUUUGCCCCUUUGAAAAAGGAGUAAAAGGACACUGAAUUAAAUGCCCGUUCAGACCUUACUGUCUGUUCUUUGGGCUGUUUGAAUACUCCAGAGAUAGAUCUGUGGAGAUAAGAAGAUCUGGAGGUCACCUGAAGGCCAUCAAAACAAGAAGCUGCUAAUGAAGAGGUGGGGGCUUCUUGCUUUAUGAAGCAAGGGAGGACUUAGCUGGUGAACAGCUAACCUUGAAGCCCAGCUCCUAGUUGAGUCCCUUCCUUAAAUUCCUUCAUCGCAUCCUUCUCAACCUGCUCACAAGUCUUGUCAUCACUGUAAUGAAACGCUCAAGAGAAAUCUUACCAGUGAUGAAAAUUGCUUCAAAGGGGAGAAAAUUCCACCCCAUUCCACUUUUACUGUCAAGACAGAGAUGCUUUAAUUCUCAUGCUAGCUAAGCUGGUGGGGAACCACACAAACCGCGUGUUUGAGCUCCCUGGUGAAUGCACCAAAGCAGAAACAAGUUAAGAGGACAGACUGACAGACAAGUUUUCCCUCUAGCCUGUCAAAAUACUUUGAAAAGGUAAGAAACAAACAAACAAAAAAGUGUAAAAAUUGGGAGGGUGUUUUUCUCUUACUUUAAGAGAGAAUUUUCUUCCAAAAAGAUUACAGGAAUAUUGAACAAUAGAUCAGCAUUUGUUAUAGACAGCUAACAUAGAAGCUAUGUGGCUACUAAAGCCUGCGGUCUUUAAUAGUCUGGGAGAAAAAACACUUAACAGAUAAUAGUAUUUGCCUUAGGAACAGUAGUUAGGGAGCCUCAAGUGAAGAGGACUCUAGGAACCAAACUAAAUCGGCAAGCUUGCCAUUGGUCAAGGACUUGAAGGAGCUAAAACUCCUCUGUCACAUGCCUGAGACUCAAGUACUCUGUAAUCUGUGUGGUGUAGACAUCUAGGCACCACUGUGGACAGCAGAUGGCUGCUGAAUGGUGAAAGCAAACGACUAAGAUUCUGGGCAGAGCAAAACCAGAAGGCCUCAAAUCAUGAUCACAAAAGUCAGUUCUUCAGAUGAAAUCAAUCCAACCACUUGAGCAGAAGGGGGUCAGACAGCAUUGCAGAGAAACAACUUACUACCAAGCAUCUGAAGGCUCUU
ensembl:lncRNA